rnacentral:rRNA from 1 species
AUGAACGCUAGCUACAGGCUUAACACAUGCAAGUCGAGGGGCAUCAGGAAGAAAGCUUGCUUUCUUUGCUGGCGACCGGCGCACGGGUGAGUAACACGUAUCCAACCUGCCCUUUACUCGGGGAUAGCCUUUCGAAAGAAAGAUUAAUACCCGAUAGCAUAAUGAUUCCGCAUGGUUUCAUUAUUAAAGGAUUCCGGUAAAGGAUGGGGAUGCGUUCCAUUAGGUUGUUGGUGGGGUAACGGCCCACCAAGCCUUCGAUGGAUAGGGGUUCUGAGAGGAAGGUCCCCCACAUUGGAACUGAGACACGGUCCAAACUCCUACGGGAGGCAGCAGUGAGGAAUAUUGGUCAAUGGGCGCUAGCCUGAACCAGCCAAGUAGCGUGAAGGAUGAAGGCUCUAUGGGUCGUAAACUUCUUUUAUAUAAGAAUAAAGUGCAGUAUGUAUACUGUUUUGUAUGUAUUAUAUGAAUAAGGAUCGGCUAACUCCGUGCCAGCAGCCGCGGUAAUACGGAGGAUCCGAGCGUUAUCCGGAUUUAUUGGGUUUAAAGGGAGCGUAGGUGGACUGGUAAGUCAGUUGUGAAAGUUUGCGGCUCAACCGUAAAAUUGCAGUUGAUACUGUCAGUCUUGAGUACAGUAGAGGUGGGUGGAAUUCGUGGUGUAGCGGUGAAAUGCUUAGAUAUCACGAAGAACUCCGAUUGCGAAGGCAGCUCACUGGACUGCAACUGACACUGAUGCUCGAAAGUGUGGGUAUCAAACAGGAUUAGAUACCCUGGUAGUCCACACAGUAAACGAUGAAUACUCGCUGUUUGCGAUAUACAGUAAGCGGCCAAGCGAAAGCAUUAAGUAUUCCACCUGGGGAGUACGCCGGCAACGGUGAAACUCAAAGGAAUUGACGGGGGCCCGCACAAGCGGAGGAACAUGUGGUUUAAUUCGAUGAUACGCGAGGAACCUUACCCGGGCUUAAAUUGCAGUGGAAUGAUGUGGAAACAUGUCAGUGAGCAAUCACCGCUGUGAAGGUGCUGCAUGGUUGUCGUCAGCUCGUGCCGUGAGGUGUCGGCUUAAGUGCCAUAACGAGCGCAACCCUUAUCUUUAGUUACUAACAGGUCAUGCUGAGGACUCUAGAGAGACUGCCGUCGUAAGAUGUGAGGAAGGUGGGGAUGACGUCAAAUCAGCACGGCCCUUACGUCCGGGGCUACACACGUGUUACAAUGGGGGGUACAGAAGGCAGCUAGCGGGUGACCGUAUGCUAAUCCCAAAAGCCUCUCUCAGUUCGGAUCGAAGUCUGCAACCCGACUUCGUGAAGCUGGAUUCGCUAGUAAUCGCGCAUCAGCCACGGCGCGGUGAAUACGUUCCCGGGCCUUGUACACACCGCCCGUCAAGCCAUGGGAGCCGGGGGUACCUGAAGUACGUAACCGCAAGGAUCGUCCUAGGGUAAAACUGGUGACUGGGGCU